rfam:Podospora anserina genomic DNA, chromosome 7.
GGUCCGGUGGUGUAGUGGUUAUCACAUCGUUCUUAUAGUUGAGCUUCAGCAACUCAUCAUAUGCGAGGGUCCCGGGUUCAACCCCCGGUCGGACCA